AUUGAACGCUGGCGGCAUGCCUUACACAUGCAAGUCGAACGGCAGCACGGGGCAACCUGGUGGCGAGUGGCGAACGGGUGAGUAAUGCAUCGGAACGUACCUUUCAGUGGGGGAUAACGUAGCGAAAGUUACGCUAAUACCGCAUAUUCUGUGAGCAGGAAAGCAGGGGAUCGCAAGACCUUGCGCUGAUUGAGCGGCCGAUGUCAGAUUAGCUAGUUGGUGAGGUAAAGGCUCACCAAGGCGACGAUCUGUAGCGGGUCUGAGAGGAUGAUCCGCCACACUGGAACUGGAACACGGUGCAGACUCCUACGGGAGGCAGCAGUGGGGAAUUUUGGAAAGUGGGGGCAACCCUGAUCCAGCCAUGCCGCGUGAGUGAAGAGGGCCUUCGGGUUGUAAGGCUCUUUCGGCCGGGAAGAAAUCGCACGGGCUAAUACCCUGUGUGGAUGACGGUACCGGAAUAAGAAGCACCGGCUAACUACGUGCCAGCAGCCGCCGUAAGAC
rnacentral:rRNA from 1 species